ACGGGCUGGUGGACUUGUCUGCGGGUUCCUCGGGUCCUUGGUGCAGAGGAAAGAUGGUUGAAGCAGAUCGCCCAGGAAAGCUCUUUAUUGGUGGGCUUAAUACAGAAACAAAUGAGAAAGCCCUGGAGGCAGUGUUUGGCAAAUAUGGACGAAUAGUGGAAGUGCUUUUGAUGAAGGACCGAGAAACCAAUAAGUCAAGAGGAUUUGCUUUUGUCACAUUUGAAAGCCCAGCAGAUGCAAAGGAUGCUGCCAGAGACAUGAAUGGAAAGUCCUUAGAUGGAAAAGCCAUCAAGGUGGAGCAAGCCACCAAACCAUCAUUUGAAAGUGGCAGACGUGGACUACCUCCACCUCCAAGAAGCAGAGGCCCUCCCAGAGGUCUUCGAGGAGGAAGAGGGGGAAGUGGAGGAACCAGAGGACCCCCAUCACGGGGAGGACACAUGGAUGAUGGUGGCUACUCCAUGAAUUUUACUUUGAGUUCUUCCAGAGGACCUCUUCCAGUAAAAAGAGGACCACCACCAAGAAGUGGAGGUCCUCCUCCUAAAAGAUCAGCACCUUCAGGACCAGUUCGCAGCAGCAGUGGAAUGGGAGGAAGAGCUCCUGUGUCACGUGGAAGAGAUGGUUAUGGAGGCCCACCACGAAGAGAGCCCCUGCCUUCUCGUAGAGAUGUUUAUUUGUCCCCGAGAGAUGAUGGAUAUUCCACUAAAGACAGCUAUUCAAGCAGAGACUAUCCAAGUUCUCGAGAUACACGAGAUUAUGCACCACCACCAAGAGAUUAUACUUACCGUGAUUAUGGUCAUUCCAGUUCACGAGAUGACUAUCCAUCAAGAGGCUAUAGUGAUAGAGAUGGAUAUGGUCGGGAGCGUGACUAUUCGGAUCAUCCAAGUGGAGGUUCCUACAGAGAUUCGUAUGAGAGUUAUGGUUGAACCUAAUGGUCAUACAGUCAUGGAGUGCUGAUUGAUUCACAGUAGAUAAAGCUGGCAGUAAGAGACAGUCAAAUGAUCAGAGUUGUCUUUGAAGCAGAGGAAUGCUGAGACUAAGCCACAGCACUUACUGACCCAGUACUCAUCAGAAUUGGUUUGGUACAGGCAAUAGAUUUUUUUGUCUUCAAGGGAGGGAGGCUGGUUAAACCUUAAUUCAAAUUAACCCAUUAGAAAAAGGGAGACUAGUCGGUAAGUGGAAGUACCUGUCCAAGACGUUCGGGUGACUUUUUAUAGACAGUUCAGUAGUUCGGACAAACUGAUGGGGCAGCUGGGCAAUUUAGACUGCUCAAUGACUAGAAGAAAAUUGAAUUAGCUGCGACUGUAACUCCAUGGUGGAGUGCUUGCCUAAGUACCAGUGAGGACUAGAGUUCAACCCCUGGCGGCACACAGACACAUUUCAAUCAGAAAAGUUAUACCUCAGUGGUAACUUUAUUCACUGAUGUCUGAUUUUCAGCAAGGAACCCAUUUGAAUUGCCUCAUAAGGAAGAAAUAUUAUUAGUCGUCCUGUAAAACUUAGGGGAAGAGCAAUGCUAGGAAAUGAAAGUAAAAACUAGAAACAUUAUUAGGCCACUGGAGUGCACGUUGGAAACAAAAAUAGGUCACUAGGUCGCUGUCGUUUUUAUAAAGGUACUUUACCCUCAGGUCUCCAUCUCGGAAACUAAUCAUGAUAGUUUACUGCUUUGGAAACUAAGAGCCAGUCAUGUAAAUGCAGAUAUUCUCAACAGAAGCAGGUCAAAGAAUUUAACUCAACCUCUGCGAUUUUUCUUAUGAAUUUGUUCCAAUACUGUUAUAGUUAAAAUUUCAAGCCUUCCAUACUCUAAUCAGGCCUGGAGUGGGUUCUCUUGACAUUUUAUGUAAAUUUUUUAAAGAUAGUUUGUCAUGGUCAAUACUAGAUAAAUAUGAAUGUUAAAGUAGGGAGAAAAAUUUGAGACCUUUUUGACAAAUGGUAGAAUAGAGAAUCAGCAGGCCUAAAUCCGCAAUUACAAAACUUAGCCUUGGUUCUUUUGCCUAAACUCUGGUUGUAGAAGAAUUUGAGUAAUCCAGAAAGUGUUGUGGUUUAUGUGGUAGCUGGAUGUAGAACAUAGGGAAUAUAGAUCAUUUUUUGGAAUGUUUUGUACUGAAACCCAAUAAAACUUGAACAUGUAUC
rnacentral:lncRNA from 1 species